AUCAGUGUCACACGUAAUAUCUCAAAAUGCCACACACAUACAUGUGCAAUUUAAACUUCUCCUGCUGGCUCAUGACUCUCGGCUCAGCAUCCUUCACAGACAUGCAAUGUCUCAGGCGACCUCCUCAACAAGCACUGGCACAGUGUGGCACAGUAAUGUACAGGAGCACAGCCACCUGUCCAGUGACACAUACAUCUUGUACAAUCUCCAGGGGGUACAUACAAUCUUACACAUUCCCUUCCCAUAGGUGACUCACCAUCUAUCCUGUCGCACACACACACCAUCUUUGGAUGCCAUACAGGUUAUGCAGGGUGGCUCAGUAUAGCCCACUUCCUCACAAAUCUCACAGUGUUUCACACACACUGUCGUGUGCCAUUCACAAUCAACGACCCCACAGUCUGCGUCACGCAGGCCAUCACCGUCGCAUGUCAUCUUGCUUGUCCUCACAUAGCACUCUUCCAGCAUCACACACUUGCAUACACUCUCCUAUGUGCAAUCACGACUCUGGACCAAUCUCUCAGCAUCACACACGAGCUCAACGUCAUAGUCACAGUUUCCCACAGCCCCUGGCCAACAAUACAGUCUUAACUCACCAUCUGCCGCACCCAGACCCACUCUGUGCCUGCUCACGCCAGCACUGGGGGCGUCCCUCUCAUCAGUCUGCCCUUAUGACACAUGGCACUCUUAUCCCCUGCCUCCCUCACAUACAGUGUCACACACAAUAUCUCACUCUCAUAUUGGCCUUUCAGUAUCACAUUCAGUCCCCAAAUAGUCUCUCUCUCUCACUCUCUGACCAAGUUACACACGAUCUCCCAUUGC
rnacentral:lncRNA from 1 species